AUGUAAUAUAUUUUAAUAUUUAUAAAUAUAAAAUAUAAAAAAAGGGAAAAAAUAUAUAUAUAUAUAUAUAUUUAUUACAUUAUUUAAUAUGUAAUAUAUUUUAAUAUUUAUAAAUAUAAAAUUCCGCAAAUUCAGCAUUUGGGCAGGAAAGAGCUCUUGUGAAACAUACUGGGUUAAUGCCUGAAAACAUGACAAUUUGAAAUCUUGAUCAUCCUAAUUAAUGUUAUUUGUUAUGGAGUAUUGCUGCUGCUUAUGCAUUGUUGCAGGAGUUUUCAGGUAAAAUGGUACUGAACAAAAGCCAACUUUUUAUUUUUUAAACUUAAGCCAAUAUCUCUGUAGGUUUAUCGCUCAAACAAACAAAUAGUGUGAAAAUUAAAUUGAACUGUUGCUGAAAUGCAAUUUUUUUUGUGGACUGUCAACAUGGCAAUGAUGGAUGAUAAACAUUUAUAAGACCCUGUCGUGAAUUUUUUAGAGAAACCUUAAAGGAUGGUUUAAAUAAACUCAUCCUCUGAGCCUUCAUUAAGUCUUUUGUCAUUAUUCCCAUUUGCCCUUUCACAUUUCUUGUUGUGCGCGGCUGUGAAAGGUGGGUGGGGUUAGAGUGAAAUCGGGGAAAAUCUGUGGAUGUGCAUUAAAAUAUUUAGAAUGGUUUAUAUUUUUAUGAAUGUAUAUAAUAUUAUGAAUAUACUUGUUCAUGACUUGCAUGUCAGUAUUUUAAUGAGAAAUAAUUUUUUACAUUACAAAUAGUAUUGAUAUCAGUGUUUUAAACAUACUGUAAGUAUAUUUUGUCGGGUGCUGGCGGAUGUUUUUCACCAAGAAAUGUCAGAAACCCCUCUCUGUGUCAGCACUUUUUUUUUCUAAGGUCAUCAAGAUACCAUUCACAGUACCUUACUUUUAUUUGUUCAAACAUUUCUUAUGAAUAGCCUAUAUAAAUAUUAUAAAUGAAAAGUUGCACUUAGCAAGUCAGAGCAAUAAACUUGAGUUUUAAGACAUUCCAACCUUAAAUGGCCCAUUUGACUUUAUGGUCCACUUUACCUGACAUAAGCCUACACACGUGUGUGAAUUAUGGUAGAAUGCAUUUGAUUAUAAACUUAGUCACCUUAUAAUGAACAAGACAACAAAAUUAUUAAUUAAGCAUUAUAUCCUAACCCAUGAUAAAAGUUUUUGCUCAUUCAGCUCAUUGGUAAAUGUUCAAGUUUAGAUAUUCUAAAACAUUUAGAAAGAAAUGUUAAAAACAUUUAGAAGAAAACAUUUAGAUAUCUGGUAACAGUGCAAAUAUUUUAAACAGUUUGUACAACCUCGUACAGUACUUUAACCCUUAUAUUAAAUGACACUUGAGGCGUGUUUCAUGAUAAAUUCUUAAAUAGCAUUAUUACAAAAUUUACUUCUAUGACUAUGUUGCUACAAAUUACUAAUGAAUAAUUAAUAAAUGUCUACUCAAUUUAUUAAUAAAUAUGAAAAAUAGAAGGCAGUACACUGGUUUAAAGGCUCUCAAAAUUUUAUUGCUGUAUUUAAUACUGUAUGUAAAUCUAGCACACACCAAAUGGCCUAUAGCCUACCGUUUCUCUUGAAUUGCCUCCUACUGAAUAGCUGCAUAAUUGUUUGAUAUGUAUUGAUACAUUACAUCACUUCUUUGAAGUCAAUUCAUUGUUUCAACAGCACAAUUAUCAUAACAUUUAGCACCAUAUUAAAUGACGGUGCAGCCUCUUUAGAUUGGCAACUACUAAUAGUCCUACUCCUGGAGCUUGGGUCUUGCAAGUCUUUCUACCAGACAUUCAGCCAUGACGAAGAUCUCUUUCAAGAUUAGCGACAAGAUUAGGUCUAUGCGGAGAGCCGAACACUUCCUGACUGACAUCAGGGGUUUCUGAUUGCAGUCAGGUGUGUGCGCCUCCAACAGCAUGAUUGUCAUCUUCGGACUCCUGCAACCAAAAAAACAAAAAAAAACAAGUGUACUGAAAAUGAACAGGUACGGGUAUGUUUCUUUUCUCGAUCCAGCUGACAUGUAUACAAUCAAGCUGAUAUCGUAUACAACUUUGUGCAUGUUUGUUUGUAGUGUAGCACUACACGCUCUUGAUAAUAUACUGAAUGAGGAUGAUGAGCGGUCUGCUAGAAAUAUUCAGAGUGAGCUGCAGUCCCGAUUGCAAUUGCGAGUAUCAACCAGCACCAUCAGGAGAUGUGUAAGCAACUUGGGUGGACAUACGGCAAAGCCCGGUGAGCAGAAAGUUACUGUGCAGUGCAGCUUAUAGAUUUAAUUUCCGUGUUUACAGUGAAGGAUGGUGUGUGCCACAUUACUAAUUUGAGACAAGCUAAGGAAUACCUGUACCAUUUCAGUGAAACGAAAAUGAACACCGCAUCAUUUUAUGGUGGCAGGAUGAGGAACACAAAGAAGACACCUUUGGUGGAAAACAGACUCCCCCUCCCUAAACCGACAGUAGAGAGCCGGAUGAAACAAAAGAAGCGCAUGGUCCAGAAAGAACGGGAAGUGUCAUGUCUGAAUAAGUUUCAAACACUGGACACCUCGAGAGAGAAAAUGUGGUAGAGGACUUGAGGCCUGAGCUAGCGAGACAGAAUACCGAGAUUGAGGCAUUGAGCAAGGAGCACCGUGUCUGCAAGAAGGAAUAUAUAGACGCAAAAGCAGCUCUUGCAGAUUUAAAAACGACGCACAACGGGCUCGUCCAGGCCCAUGUGGCUGUAAUGAGGUACCUAAAAGAGAUGCAAACUGCAACAGAGGCAUUGAGGACUCAACACGACUAUGCCCACCCCCCAACAUCAGACUGUCUGACUGAGGUCACUGCUAGCCUGAGUGGAGAUGCAGACAAUAGGUAAACACCAUCUUCUGUCGUCACCGCAGGUCCAACGCCAACAACACCAGCUGGAAGUUGAACGUCAUCCCGAACUCCAGUUUUCUUUUCCCUCACCAUAGCAGCUAGAGAUUCUAAUGAUACAGCGUCAGGGACGGCCGGAUCAAUAUGGCUGUUUGACGUUCCAUGCCAUUUUACUAGAGCAGCGAACAAAAGAGUGGGCAUCGACCACCAACUGGGAUGGUUCAAGGGGCAAAUCUGCAUUGCCUAUGAACCUAAGGCACUUUAUCUUUCUCAGAGGUUCCCCAACAUGACCAACACUGACCAAAAGUGCAUUAAAGACAGAGUCAAUGAGUUCUUACCCUCCCUAAGGAAUGCUGUUUCCCACAGGCACCUGCAUUUUUAACCAUUUUUUACUUAGAAAAAAAUUAUUUUAAAUUUGCUUUAAUGUUCCCAUUUUCUUUGUAAUAAAUUUAAUUCCUAAAACCUAAUUAUCACUUAUCUUUCUUUCCUUAAGGAAUAAACAGAGCUUAUUGUCCAAGACUCAAACUGUUAUUAAUACAUAAGCUCAAAUAUAUUGCCAAGCAAGAAAAGUCAUGUAUAAUAUUUUGUUGAGAGAAAACUUUAAGAAUAAGUGAAACCCACUUAUCCUGUCAUUUCUCAUUUCCAUGACAACUGAACACUAGCGUUUUUGAAAAAUUUUCUCUUGUGUGAUGGCAGCAGUAAAGGGAUUCUUUAAUACAGAAAAUAUUAAUUGUUUACAUAAAUGCCACGUGAAUUUAAAACCUGAUUUUUAAGUUUUUUAAAAUCAUAAUUUUAACAUAAUUUAUAACAUUUUAAAUGUUUUUAAUGUUUUGCUGUGUUCUCUGCGGUUGGCGCAGACGCGCACACAGCUCGCGGAUCUGGUGAAAUAACAGAACAAAAAUGCAAACAAAUCCACAGCUCUAAUUGUGGUUUAAUAAAACAAAACCAUUGCACCACCUGGCGGUGAUUUUGCGAAGAUCCGCGUGUAAAUUUGUGUGUGCGGUGGCAGCGGUGUUCCCCGUCUGCAGUAAGGGUCAUUUUGGUUGCCAACCUACUGUAAUUAUAAAUAUAAGGAUUCUUUUAAUACUUGGAUGCAAAUUCUUUGUAGUCAAAGACUACCUUAAUUCUGGAAACCAUGUACAUCACUAAAGGCAGAGUUUCCUCCCUUGAGAUACUUUGCCAGGUCUUUACUGCAGCAGCCUUCAGUUGCUGCUUGUUUGUGGGUCUUUUGGCCUUCAGUUUUGUCUUCAGUAUAUGAAAAGCAUGCUCAAUUGGGUUGAGGUCAGGUGACUGAAGAAAAACCCCUUCAAAACAUCUAGCCAAGUCAAGAACACUGUCAAGGAGGUAUACCACGCCAUCUGUCAAACAUGGUGGAGGCAGUGUAUGGCAUGGGAAUGUAUGUCUGCCAAUGGAACUGGGUCACUGGUGUUUACUGAUGAUGUGAGUUCCCAUGAACAGCUACCAAUACAAAUUCAACACUUGGAAUCAACUCCGGACCUUUUAUGUCCUUAAUUUUUCAUGAAAUAAUGAGAAAGCAGGCCACAUCUGACCAUGAAACUGCUUAUCAUUCAACUGUCUAAUUAAUUUUAAGCCUGUGAACUUAAAAAGGACUAUAUAAAAAAUGACUGUAAUUCUUAAAAUGUUAAUGCAAUGUUUUUGUUAAACUCCUUGAAUUAAAGCUGAAAGUCUACACUUCAAUCACAUCUUGAUUGCUUCAUUCCAAACUGUGGUGUAUUUUGGUGUACAGAGACAAAAUUAUGAAAAGUGUGUCACUGUCCAAAUACAUAUGGACCUGACUGUAAGUUUGUGGUUUACAUUUACAGCUUUUGGCAGAUGCCCGUAUCCAGAGUGAAUUACAAAAGUACCUUCUAGUCUCCAUCAGUGCAUAUCCUCAGGCUUGGACAAGGAUUUCAGAGUUUAAGAACACGAUGAGGCUGAAACCCUGUUAGAGAGGUGUUGCCAAUGGUUAGCAAUAUACUAGUUCAUUACGAUUGUACUGUAUGUAAAAGAGAAAGGCUGGUAAUAUCUAGCAAUCAAUUAGUGCAUAUGAGCAAAGUGAUGUAGGUCCCAGGAUUAGGAUCUGAAUAGAACAGGAGGUUGUAGUCCUCAUGAUAGAAGUAAUAGGUUGCACAACGGGAAAGGAUGAAGGUUGUCGUGGAUGCUGUGUUGGGUAUGGUACUCUCCUAUCAAGGAUGAAGGUUGUCAUGGACGCUGUGUUGGGUAUGGUACUCUUCUGUCACACAUGACUGUAACUUAAGUAUCAGUAAUAACCCUUCCAAAAGCCAUGGUGGGAUAACAUUGCUUUCCACCACUGAUCAGCCACCUGCCUUAUGAGCUUAUGUGCAGCUAGAACAAGAAUUUCAUGAAGUUUUUGAUCUCUUGACUUCUGGAAAAGAUGCUGGGGAAAAACUGCUCAGCCUCAGUCAAGGUAAAGUUUGAGUGACAUUAUGUACUCAAGUUCUGCACUUCGACUUUCCACACAGGUCUAAAUUAAAAUCUGCAAGUGGACUGGCAUUAUAAUGAUCAUAACCUUUCCCUAGCACAGUACUUUCAAGUGGCCGCUGGUAUUGACAACCGUGAUCAUGCAAGGCAUUGUGUUGAGAAAGAUGAGUGGGAUUCAUCAAACAGUGCCUUCACUUAAGAACCCAUGAAAGUGGGACACAUGAAACAACACAGUCAAGAUGAAGGACCUUGUAUGUAUUGUGGAAUAAAAGGUCACCUCUGAGCGGACUGUGCAACUUGCACAACAACAGGUGAGUCAAUUCUUUAUUGCUCCACUUGAAACAAGAAAUGCUGUGUUCUGAUAUCAGUGGACUGGGGUUCAAAAGAUCUUUAUCUUAUAGCCCUGAUCAACUCUGUUGCUGUUGGCAAGUUCAUGGACAAGAAUUUUGCAAGCAAACUCAACAUUUAAUUCCUUCUAAUUCCCUAGUCUCCCAACACCUGUACAAGCUCUGUGGUUGCACUCCAGUUUCAGGCAAGAUUACCGUGUGCACAAUUCCAUUGAAUGUCAAUGUGGAACUGUUUCAUUUAGAGAGCAUGCCAUUUAUAUCUCCAAACAACACAGUGGUGACUGGGUUCCCCUGCUUGUCCCAACUAGAGGUCGACGGAUAGUGGAUUUUACCGAUACCGACAACUAUGUUGGGCAGUACCUGCCAAUAACCGAUUAAUCAACUGAUAGUUUUUAAAAAAAUUGGGAUUGCUCGCGGUAGUGUCACUUGAAGGCCGCAGAGAUGGCUUGGGGAUCUCAUAUGAGGAGUUGUACUGUGAUGGCUUGGGACUGCGAUUGCUGUGGUGGCUUUGGGGCUACAGUUGUUGCGAGCAGUUUUGCACUCAGGUCUCCAUCAGUGCACAGUGGAUAGGUUCAACAAAACAGACUUCGUGUGAAAACUGUAAUGAAUUUACUGGUUGCACAAUUGCACUAUUUGUCCAUGUAGUACAAACUUAUAGAAGGGAUUUAUUUAUAAUUGCACUAUCCAUUAUCACCCAGAUUAGGAUGGAUUCCCUUUUGAGUCUGGGUUCUUCCUUAUAUCGUCUCCAGUUUUUCCUUGCCACCAUCGUCUGUGGCUUACAGGGAUACAGUCACACAUUUAUAAUUUAUUUUGAUUUAAAUUGAAAUUAAAUAAAUAUAUAUUAACUAUUAAUAAAUAUUAAAGUAAAUAAAAGAUAUACAUCCAAACUGAACCAAAAAGUAACAUUAGUUAAUGCAUUAGCUUACAUGAACUAACAAUAUGCAACAUAUAUUUUUACAGCAUUUAUUAAUAUACAUACCUUUUCGUUGUCAGUGUUUUAAAUACGCAUCUGAAGUAUCCUGCUCCAAGCAGAGUGUAGUUUCACAUCAAAACAAACACCACGAGGCAUCAGUGAUAGUUUUUAUUUCGCCUCUAGAAGCUGCUCUCGUACAUUAUAAUGACAGCGGACCCUUCUCAGCCACUCCCGCAGCGGACGCAACCGGGAAAAACUAUCGGUGUGGAUUUUAGCCGGUAACUGAUAGUUCCAGCAAGCAGUUAUCGGUGCCAGUUAAUCGGCGAAACAGAUCAAUCGGUCGACCUCUAGUCCCAAUAUAGCCCCAACAUAGCCCACUUUUUAUUGACUUUUUCAUCAGACAUUCAUCACCCCUGAAAUAGAAUGAGGCAGUCUUGGCUUUUACUCAACUCAAUCACUGGUUGGAGGGAGGAGAACACCUAUUCCUCUUUGUAGGAGUUAAAAUUCAUAGUAACAUACAGACCAGGCACAAAAACACAAAAGCUGAUACACUCUCACUUACAGUUUGAAUCUGCCAAACAAACUCUUGUCCAAGAAAUUCCUACUAGCUGUACACUUGCUCCAGUCCAGUGGUCAUUAAUGGAAGACAGCAGCCAAGCCCAAAAAUGAACCCCCACUAGCAGACAAAACAUAUGUACCGAUAUACAUAGGAUGAAAGUGGGGAUAGGGUUAGUUUUAGUGGUUCUAUACCUCUGUAUUUUCUCUGGUAGUUGUGAUUUGGAUUUGAAUGCUUUCUUUGUGAAUAAACUUUUCUACCAUCGCCCCACAACAUCCCUUCCAAUCUGUUGUGGCACAAUAACAGUCUAUCUUUUCUUUCGGUCACGCUGUACAUAUGCUGCCUGAAUUGAUGAUGGCAAAAGAUCCUAAUGCUGAUGUUGGUGCAAGAUUGCAGUAUACUUCCCCUGCUGUUACUUCUCCUGCUCUCUGGACUUUCCUGAUAUGACACUGAUAUUUUAAUUGUGAUGCCCCACCCCUGCUGUGGUUCCUCUUGCUUAUUCAUCUUAGAGCAGUUUAUACAUAGUGUUCGCCUUCUUGCUAAAGUGAAUAAUCUAACCUUGAUGCCCCAGAGACUUAUACUUCUGCCUUGAUUAUAAACUUGUCUUAUGUUAUGUUCAUAUCAAGGCUCUUACUUACUAUAUGCUCAUUCCUAACAAUCUAUAUGUUUUCAACACAAAGAGCUUCGCACAACAGUUGAGCUGAGGAGUAGGGCUUCCCUUCUGAGACUGGUUUCUUCUUAUUGAGUAUUUUGAUAGUGUGUUAAACUGUACGCAUCUCAUAUGUGAUUGUCAAAUUUGGGAGACACUUUGUGAAUAAGGAGAUAAUGACAAAAGAAAUAAGCAGAUUUGCCCCAUUUAUUUAGUUGCUUAAGUGAUACAGUAAAUGAAUGUGCUUUAAGGCGGCAUCUACAGGCCCAAGAUCCUAACUGGACUUUUUAAGGGGGAACAGAAAACCUGAGCAAGGAACUGGCGAAUAAGAAGCCAACUUCAGCCUAGUUGUGAUUAUAGAGAGAUGAAACACUCAUAAAAAAAGUGUGCUAAACUGUAUUAUUCUUUGUCAGUGGAGUGGUACAGUCAAGAGUACAUCAAUUGUACCUUUAGUGUGUGUUUUUACAUAGUAAUGGGAAUGUUGAAUAAAAUGUUUUAAGGUACCUAAUUGGACCUUAAGGACCACUUUAAUGAUCUUUUAGAGUGAUACUUUAAGGGUCCACUGCAUGUACCUUUCUAGGUAAAAAAUUAGUAAAGAUAAUCUUUAACUAAAAGGCAUUAAAGGUGUGAAAGAUUGCAGUGACAAGGAAAAAGUACCCCUUGUGAUAGUGAAGGGUUGAAGACAAAGGCGAAUAUCCUGUACAUGAAGUCAGGUUUCUGUCUUAAAUGGCAAAGUUUCUGUGGACUCUGAAAUUAUUUAGUUAUUCAAAAUAUAGCCAAACUAGUAUGGAUAGAUUUUUAAAUUAAUAAUUUCAUAAUUACAUUAAUUAAAUUAAUAAUGUUAAGUUCUUUAUUUUCCAAAAAUCGUAUUUUUAAUCAUUGCAAUAAACAGAUAAUGAUCAUUUAACCCUAGUACGCAGUUCGAGAAAAACCUCUGCGUUUUUAUGUAUGUUUACGUUGCCAUGUGUGUAUUGUUUUGGUUCACGUCCUGUCUCCUCCACUGUAUUGUCGUUUCCCUCGUGUCUUUUUUGCCUGCACCUGUUUUCAGUUUCACCUUUGAUUAGUUUAUAUAUUUAACCCCCCGUGUGUCUUUGUCCUGUGUGAAGUAUUGUUCAGUGUUUUGCCGCCUGUUCAUACCGAGCCUUUGUUCUGUGUUUUUGACUUCUUGUUCUCUGACUGUGUUCCGAUUCCCAAUUUUUGUAUUUCAGAUUUUUAAUUAUCGUUUAGUAUUUGUAAUGGGAAAAGGUUGUUGAUGAGCAUUUUUGAUGAGCACUGCCUCAACAUGCCUAAUUAGUGCAGUGUACAGCUAAAAGAGAAGAGCUGCACACUAGUCCAAUCUAGUCCACUAACAUUUGGCAAUUCUAUUUAUUUAUUUAUUUAUCAGUAAAAUAAUCAGUAAAUCAGUAAAACUUGAGGAAUAGCUUAACUUUAUUUCAUCUUGUUACUGUUCUUUGUUGGAAGCAUUGAUCUUGAAAGCUAGAGAGUGGUCUUGUGUCCUUGACCAACUUAUUCAGGAUUGCAUCGAGUAGUGCACUAACAAGAGCACAUUCUCAGAAUAAAGUCAUCCUCUAUAUAGUGUUGUUUUAUUCUGAAAUACAGAAAAUGAAUAACCGUCAGGACAAAUAAAACUUUAUUUGAUUUGAUUAGGUUGAGUUAUGAUGACUGUUAUCAACAUAAAAAAUCAUUUUUAGGUACUGUACAUCACUUAAUGCAUUAUAAGUGUUAUCUAUUAUAAUACAUAUAACACAUAUAACACUUUAAGCUAAUAUUAACCAGUUUUACGUACCUAGCUAUUGAGUGUUUCUCUGUAAGCUGAUAUUAUAACACUUAUAACACAUAUAACACUUUAAGCUAAUAUUAACCAGUUUUGCGUACCUAGCUAUUGAGUGUUACUCUGUUACAGGAUAACUGAAUGUUACUACUACUGACUACUGAAUGUUCAACAGUUUUUCUAAGUAGUCUGCCAAAUGCUUUUAAUAAACAUAAACUGGUAUGGUUUAUAAUAUUCUAGUGACUAGCAUUAGUAACUUUUAAUAUAGUGGGCUUUAUUAAUUUGGUGCCAUAACAUUAACCGUAGCUCAUUCUAAUAUCACAUCACAUUUUGAACUACAUAUCCUCAAUGAACUCCAGCAUGGGGAUGGAGUAAGCUAUGGUUUAGUUACCAUGUUGCUGCAGUGUGUUCACAAUUAAUGAUAGGAGGUUUUAGUUGCAGGUGCACAAGCAUGCAUACCAUGCAAUAGCAUAUCAUGGAAUAGCUGAAUCAGACUUCCAUAUGUUGCAUAUGACUGCUUUGUCCUUCGUUUUAAGAAAUUGCUCCCAGACCUUACUACUUUUUUUGAGCUUUCAGCUAUAAUUGUUUUUUUCUUUCACUAUCAUCUCACAGAGGUAUGACUCUAUAAGUGAAUUGCUGUCUUAAUCUUCAGGUUAAGACAUUAACUCACUCUAGUGUGGAAACCACUUUGAAAAUUUAAACGAAGGAUCAUGUGAAUGCAUGUGAAUAAAGUGGAGACAACACAGCAUUUAAUUUCAACAACACUUUCUAGUCUCAUAUUCUACCACCACAACCAUUUUAACUAUGGGAAGUGACUUGUAUGUUUGAAUACACAGGUAGGGUUGUAGUAUAGAGUGCGUCUGAAUCAGAGUGUGUCAGAUCUACCUCCUAGUGUGCUCUUCACUGUUAUUUAUAAGUGAACCUGCUUCUGUACUUCAUAUAUGGACAGCAAGUUCUUUGUUGUGGUAAUAUGUGUUGUAACUGUAUUAGAAAUACAGAUUUCAAAUGGGUUUCAACGGUUUGUCAAUCAUGAUAGAAAAUAUUCUCAGCCAUAAAAUGGACAUUGCAAGUGGAACUGACAAUGCUCAGUGUAAAAAGUUGGAGAAGACCAUGGGACCCUGGAGAAGGAGGAUCUGAUAAUUCUUGCAUUUUUCUCUGUCUGAGCAUAAGACAUAAUUAUGCUACACCUACGCAGAGAGAGCUUGGUGGAAAUCCUUUCUCCAGUGCAUUCUGCUUGAAUGUUAGUGCUAGUUAAAACCUGUUAAAGAGAUUAGAGUCACAAUCUCUCUGAUUUUAAGAGUGUCUCGCUAUAAAUUUUGAGUUAGCUGUAAAACUAUACCCGUUCAGGUUAUAAAAAGAUAUUUAUCAUUUACAGUGCAUAAAAUGAUUUUUAGAGACAAAAAUGAUAUCAAUACGUCACAAUGCUGAGAUCACUACAGACCCUUGGGUUUAGCAAGAACCAGGAAUCAUUUGAGUCUAGCCCUGUUUGCUUUCCACAUAUACCAUUUAACUCAAAGAUGGAAACACUCCAGGAAAUGCAACAAGCAGACAUUUGGGAUGUGACCUAGUGAUACUUUUCCUUUGCCCUAUGGGCUUUCCUUAGUAGUAGGCACUUAGAGUUUAAGUGGUUAUAAUACCUUGUUUUAUGGCUAGGCUCACCCAGGAAUGGAAAGGCUAUUUCCUCUGGUCACAUGCAUUUAUUAUAAUAAUGGUACCCAGAUCAGAUAAAGAUGUUGCACAGUACCUCUACCAAAAACAAAAAGCGCAUUAUCAAAAUCUAAUAUAAACAUUUACUGGUGUUUGCUGGUACUUAUUACUUAAGAAUAAAUCAUUCAGAACUGAUAGAUACCAAUUUGUUUUCCUGUUUAGGAAAUCUGAAUAUUCUGUAGUAGGUGGCAUGUGCAAAAAAAAUUAUAUCAUGGUGUAGCUUAAACUUUUCUUCGAAUCUGUAUAUCACAGUAUAAUGCGAUGUCCAUGACUUUCGCAAGGACCAUAAUUUUGUGGCUGUCUGAAUGUCACUAUCACCAAAUUCUGGCAGAUAAACAAAAUAUAUGAAAAAUCAGGGGAAUUGGGGUUUUCUUCCUAUGACAUCUUAAAAACUGUUUUACGUACAUGCACGAGUGACCUAAGCCUGAGACCUGUAUCUAGGUAAUUUGCUUGACACCAGCUCCAACAGCAAAAAACUAUUUCACAGUUUUACAGUUUUAAAUAUGUAGGCAUAUGUAGAAUUAUUGGAUCUUAUGAUAAUGUAGAAAUCAUAAUAAAGCAUGAAAUGAAAAUCAAGAAGAAUAAAAGGUGAAAAUGCACCAUAUCUUGUGAUCUGACCUCAUGUGAAGUUUAAAUCUGACUGAGAAUGCAUUGAUAGUAACUAUUAUG